UUAAUACUUCCUAUACAAUUGCUACAGAACCAUAGAACAAGGAUAAAAAUUGGGAAAUUAACACUGAUGCAUUACUUCCAUCUAAUCUUCAGAUACCUUUUAGGUUUUGCCAGUUGUCCCAACCUUGUCCUUUAGCACGAAAGACCUUCAGACCAGAGUCAGGCACUGCAUUGAGCUAAGGCCUCUUUAGUAUCAUUUAGACGGGGACAGUUCCUGGGACCUUGACCCUCUGGGAGAUGACAGGAUUUGGAAAAUUGAAUGCAUGGAACUUGUUUUGCUUUAUCACAAUGAAAAACAGUUGCCAUCCCUUUUGAUGUGAAGCUGAUCUUAUUAUUAGAUUACUGAUUGGGAACACUGGGUCACUUGGCUGCCUUCCCAGCACCUGUGCCAGCUAGAUAUGGCUCAUUUUAUAGAUAAGCAAACAGAGUCCUGUUGAGUGUAGUUUAUCCAGCAAUCACGGGUACAGAACGAGCCUCUUCUGACAUCCUUGGGCCAUGUA